CAGACAGACCAAAAACAAUAUACCCCCGAUCAUUCAAUCCUGGGGCAUAAAAAUGAGGUAAUAUGCCACAUGUUUAAAUUUGAACAAGUGCAUAAAGUGAGUUAAUCAGUCAAGUAUUGUUUCUUUUUCCCUUUAACAUGAAUAAAAGACUUUGAAGAGAUGAGUAAAUUAGUCAUGUUCUUGCGUAAGUGUGAAUGCCAUCAAAAACCCAUAUGCCUGCUGUGUUAUUGCAGGUCCGUCUGUGUCCAAUGUUGCUUGCAAAGGUUCUAAACAUGCGUUCAGGGCGAUGCUAAUCUUCUAAAAUGUUAAACCAAGGCCCUGGUGUCGUUUAGGGGGCUCCAUCUAGCAAUAACUCCAAUGGUGGAUUCAGGACACCCUUUAUGACCAAGGACCUUGGUCUUGCUCAAAACAGUGAUGGCAGUGAAGUGACCGACACCAUAUGAGUCUCUUUGUCAUCAGAUUUACCGCAUCAUGACUAAUCACGGGUUUGGUGGAAAAGACUUCUCGUCUGCUUUUAAAUUAUUGCUUGAUUAGAACAAGAAAAAGACAUGAUAAAUAACAUCAUUAUGUACUAUUAUUAUUUCCUAAAUGUAUAUACUAAAAUCAUGUAAAUACAUGAAUGAACGUUUAUUAGAAAACUAUUGUUAAUGAUUCAAGAAAUUUGUAAAAUGAUUUAAAAUUAAUUUGUUUUAUAGAUAAUACAAGAUUUUUUACACUUGAGGUAAUGAUUUUGUAAAAAACAACAACCUUUUCUUAGAUAUAACUUAAAAUAUAAUUGUUGAUAUUUACCUGGUGAAAUAUGUUUUUGUUCAGCCAGAAAUGUCUUAGAUAAAAUAAUAUUUUUAUGUAAUUUUCACACUGUAUAAAGUGUGUUUCAGCAGAUAACCAAACUGCGUGUCAUCAGUAUGAGUUUGUGUUUAUUUUGUAUGUACCAAUAUAUUUUGAAGGAGUCGAAGAGGUACUGUAAUUUUCUAUCUUGAUGACUAAAAACGUGCAUUUUAAGAAAGAGCUUUAUUUGACAGUGCCUCUUCAAGUCUACAUUUUGUUUCCAUGAUAGGUUGUGUUUUGAAAUAGCAUUUAAAAUACUUGUACCUUUUAAAAGAUGCAAAUGGGAAUGUUGUUUAUGGUAGUUGUUCUUGAAUUCAAUAUGAAUUGCUAUGAAUAGAAUAGUGAGAACUGUAUGUGCUUCUUUAGUAUGGUAUUGUUUAUAAUAAAUACCAGUUAAAUUUA